UACACUCCUGCGGGAGGCAGCAGUGGGGAAUUUUGGACAAUGGGCGAAAGCCUGAUCCAGCAAUGCCGCGUGAGUGAAGAAGGCCUUCGGGUUGUAAAGCUCUUUUGUCAGGGAAGAAACGGUGAGAGCUAAUAUCUCUUGCUAAUGACGGUACCUGAAGAAUAAGCACCGGCUAACUACGUGCCAGCAGCCGCGGUAAUACGUAGGGUGCAAGCGUUAAUCGGAAUUACUGGGCGUAAAGCGUGCGCAGGCGGUUUUGUAAGUCUGAUGUGAAAUCCCCGGGCUCAACCUGGGAAUUGCAUUGGAGACUGCAAGGCUAGAAUCUGGCAGAGGGGGGUAGAAUUCCACGUGUAGCAGUGAAAUGCGUAGAUAUGUGGAGGAACACCGAUGGCGAAGGCAGCCCCCUGGGUCAAGAUUGACGCUCAUGCACGAAAGCGUGGGGAGCAAACAGGAUUAGAAACCCGAGUAGUCCCAUG
rnacentral:rRNA from 1 species